rnacentral:lncRNA from 1 species
CUCUUCCUGCUGCCUGUGGAUCAGGAUGUAGGACUCUCAGCUACUUCUCCAACGCCAUGUCUGCCUGUGUGCCACAGUGCUUCCUGCCAUGCUGAUAAUGAACUAAACCUCUGAAAAUAUUAUAGCAUCUGGUCUCACUCAGUGACAUCACAUGCCCUUGAGGGACUGACUCUGUUUUCAGAGGAGUAACCACGGCUGGUGUUGUCUCCCUCCCUGCUGGUGACGCUGAACCAAUCAAACUUAGAGAGCAGUGCCUGAGAUACCUCUGAAUGCAGCAUCUUGACAUCUGAGAAAACAACAGAUCCAGAACACCAUCAUUGUGCCCGUGAACCAGGUCGCAAAGUGUUCAUUCUAGAAGUGACCAUGUGGACAGGGAUCUCCUUAUCCCCGAAGACCCAGAGACGCCAAGCAAAACCUGAACAAACUGCUCUGGCGCCAUCCUCAUCUGUGAUGGCUGCCCUUGUUCAGCUUUAUUUUCCCGUGAUAGACACUUCUCAUCAAAUAGCACAUAAAUAAACACAGGCUUCCGGGGUC